UACGAAGGGUGCAAGCGUUAAUCGGAAUUACUGGGCGUAAAGAGCUCGUAGGCGGUUUGUCGCGUCUGCCGUGAAAGUCCGGGGCUCAACUCCGGAUCUGCGGUGGGUACGGGCAGACUAGAGUGAUGUAGGGGAGACUGGAAUUCCUGGUGUAGCGGUGAAAUGCGCAGAUAUCAGGAGGAACACCGAUGGCGAAGGCAGGUCUCUGGGCAUUAACUGACGCUGAGGAGCGAAAGCGUGGGGAGCGAACAGG
rnacentral:rRNA from 1 species